rnacentral:rRNA from 1 species
GACGAACGCUGGCGGCGUGCUUAACACAUGCAAGUCGAACGGUGAUGCUCCAGCUUGCUGGAGUGGAUCAGUGGCGAACGGGUGAGUAACACGUGAGCAACCUGCCCCAGACUCUGGAAUAAGCGCUGGAAACGGCGUCUAAUACUGGAUACGAAACUGGCCCGCAUGGGCAUGGUUUGGAAAGUUUUUCGGUUUGGGAUGGGCUCGCGGCCUAUCAGCUUGUUGGUGAGGUAAUGGCUCACCAAGGCCACGACGGGUAGCCGGCCUGAGAGGGCGACCGGCCACACUGGGACUGAGACACGGCCCAGACUCCUACGGGAGGCAGCAGUGGGGAAUAUUGCACAAUGGGCGAAAGCCUGAUGCAGCGACGCCGCGUGAGGGAUGACGGCCUUCGGGUUGUAAACCUCUUUCAGCAGGGAAGAAGCGAAAGUGACGGUACCUGCAGAAGAAGCACCGGCUAACUACGUG